CUCCGGCCACACUGGGACUGAGACACGGCCCAGACACCUACGGGAGGCAGCAGUGGGGAAAUUGCACAAUGGGCGCAAGCCUGAUGCAGCGACGCCGCGUGAGGGAUGACGGCCUUCGGGUUGUAAACUCUUUCAGCAGGGACGAAGCGUGAGUGACGGUACCUGCAGAAGAAGCACCGGCCAACACGUGCCAGCAGCCGCGGUAAUACGUAGGGUGCAAGCGUUGUCCGGAAAUUAUGGGCGUAAAGAGCUCGUAGGCGGUUUGUCGCGUCGUCUGUGAAACCAGCAGCACAACUGUUGGCUUGCAGGCGAUACGGGCAGACGAGUAUUUCCGGGGAGACUGGAAUUCCUGGUGUAGCGGUGAAAUGCGCAGAUAUCAGGAGGAAACCGUGGCGAAGGCGGGUUUCUUUGGGAAAUAAACUGACGCUGAGGGAGCGAAAGCGUGGGUAGCGAACAGGAUUAGAUACCCUGGUAGUCCACGCCGUAACGGUGGGCGCAGGUUUGGGUUUCCUUCCACGGGAUCCGUGCCGUAGCUAACGCAUUAAGCGCCCCGCCUGGGGAGUUCGGCCGCAAGGCUAAAACUCAAAGGAAAUGACCGGCCCGCACAAGCGGGGAGCAUGUGGAUUAAUUCGAUGCAACGCGAAGAACCUUACCUGGGUUUGACAUACACCGGAAAGGCCGUGGAGACACGGCCCCCCUUGUGGUCGGUGUACAGGUGGUGCAUGGCUGUCCGUCAGCUCGUGUCGUGAGAUGUUGNNUAAAGUCCCGGAACGAGCGCAACCCUUUCCUGUGUUGCCAGCACGUUAAUGGUGGGGNC
rnacentral:rRNA from 1 species